UUAUCUUACCCAUGGGUGCCCCAUUAUUUCUGAAGUUUAUUGAAUGAUAUUUUAUUAAAUUCAUUUUUAAGGUGGUACCCAACACCUUGACUAAUAUUAAUUUGGCUCGUUUAAUUUUCAUAAAAUUUUGACAAAAUGUUUACUUUGACCCUUUGACAAAAAUAUAAAAAUUUCAAAAAAAAUGAACCAACCACUUUAUCAGAAAAAUUUCAUUGGUUAUAUAGCAGUUUGACAAACACUAAUUUUGAUCAUUGAGAAGCUUAAUAUUUCCUUAACAAUACAACGUAAUUAAAACGUUUAGCUGAUUUUUACAGAAUUAUCUCCCUGUAGUGUUAGGUACCACCUUAAAGAGGGUAAACAGUUAUUUUUUAUUUGUACUAACAUAACAAAUUAAUAAUUUUUAACAUAACAUGUAAUAUAUUAAUAAAAAGAUUCUACUGUUUUGUUCCGUGAAAGUAAGUUUUUCUGAAAAUUUGUACCCACCUUUAGAAGAAUGCGAAAUUUGUUCAUUUAGUUGCCCUUUCAUUAAAAUUCUUUUUCAUGCAAUCCUUAUGAAACACCAACUGUAUACUUAUUUGAUUUAAUAGAUACAUAUAGAUUCUACCACUGCAUCGAGUGUGAUAAGAUAUUUAUCCACUCGAGACAGUUAAAUUUUCAAAUUUAAAACGCGAGGCUUGCCGAGCGUUUUAAAUAUUUAAAAUUUAACUGUCGAGAGUGGAUAAAUAUCGUAUUACACGAGAUUUGGUGGUGGAAUCUGUUUCUCUAAUGAUUUUCAAACAAUACGCAGGCAAAUUUAUUCCCUGAUUUCGAAUGAUCUGCAAAAAGAUGUGUUCUUUCUAUGUGACGUCAUCAGGCAUGGUCGCCUUUUUUCAUGCCGUCACAUUAGGAAAUGCAGAGGAAAGCAAGAAAAUUCGACGUCAUAAUCGGAUUUUAACCAAUGAAGAACUGAGAUCAAAUGAACCACACGUUGAUUAAAUUUUUUUUUAUACAAUGGGUGCAGAAAGGGAUAAAUUGACGAAGAAUUAGAGAAAUAUGAAAAUCACCACAUGGGUGUAAGAUAUCUUUUCAAAAUUUUGCAACUAAUUGUUUUUUUUUAUUUCUUCUUUUUAUGAUUUUUUAGAAAAAUGUUCCAUGACAGCUUUUAGGUCAGAUAACCUAAAACCUUCAUAGGGACAAUUUCAUUGCAAACAUGUUUUUAAAAGUGAAAUAAUCGAAUAAAUAAAAUAUUUUUAGUAUAAUUAUUUAUUAAAAGAAAGAGAUGAUAUUUUUCUAUUUAUAAAGCAAGGCUAUAUUUUUAUCUUUGCUGGUAUUUUAGACAGGUUCAUAUUCAUAUAGAAUUAUAUAACAAACAAUUAUUUAUUUAUAAGAAUGAAUGUUUAAUUGGUUGUUAGAAUCAUGUGAUUAGAUUUGAUAUAUAAAGCGUCUAUUCCAGUUUAAAGUAGAGUUCUUGGAAAUGAAUCAGACAGACCUCAAAUUUGUGCCUGUUGACCAAAUGACGUUGCCAAAAGUCUGUAACAUCAAAUAUUUUCUAUUAUGAUGCUAAAAAAUUACAGAAAAAUUACAUGUUUCCUUGAAUGGCGGACAAACUCUAAGUUGGUCUAUUCAUACCAAUGCAGUAUCAUAUCAGUGUUAUAAUUUAAUAACAAUGAUGUUAUUUGGUGCAAAAUUAUCUAAGUAUAUUUAUUAAUGUUGAAUAAAGUUUUUCUAACAAUGAUACUUUUACAGAUUUUUCAGGGUUGUCUAAAAAUCAUCACACACACUAAUAGUUGUGUAAAGGUCUGAUAGAUCACAUGUGAUUUUGUCUCAGUGAAAGAUUUAAACAAGUUUUUUUAACAGUUAUUUUUACGGUGACAAUGCAAAGAAUUAAAUUUGUUUUUAUUUAGUAUCUUAGAUAUUAUUAAUGUUUUAGUUAGUGUAAAUAUUUUACAGAGUGAUUUGUUUUAUUAUUAAAUUUUAUUUUAUAGUGUGCUUAUUUUAUAAUACCAUGUAUAAAAAAUUUGUUUGUUUCUCAAAAUCCUGCCUUAUUGAAACUAGUGUGUGCUUCAUUCUCUAUUCUUUUCAGUGAAUUUUCAAAACUUUUCUCAUCAGUUAACCUGUAUGUUUUAUUUAAAUAAAUCUGUUAAGACAUUUUACCCAAUAGUGUCAAUCUACAGUUAUUUCCCAUAAAAAAAUGAAUAAUUAUGUAGGUGAACAGAAAAAAACUUGUGCAAUAAUGAGUAGAAGUAUAUAAUUUGUAAUUUUAUUAUUAAUAAAAGAAACAUCUAAACCAAUUUUCAAAAUUAGAGACUUAAGAAUUUUUUUUAUUUCCUUUUAGACCAAUUUUAUUUUUAUCCAGUUUUAGAAUAACACCUAGUCAAGUAACCUAAGCUACUUAUCAAAAUUUUGUUUUAUUUUAGAUUUUGUUCAUAUACAAGUGAAUGCAAUAAGGAGCAAGAACAAAAAAAUGUAAGAAUACUGUAUUGUUUAAAAAAAAAAAAUGUCCUACUUGAUUCACAUAUGUUAAAGUGGACUUGAUUGAGAGAGGCAUGACUAUAUUUGUCUCUUUUGAAUUUUUUUGUAAAAACGAGAUUUUAUGUGUUUGGGUAGCUGUCUAAUUAAUGGUUAAGUCAGAUCCCCUCCAUAAGUAAGAUUUUUUACUCAGAAAGAUAAUCUUCAUGGUUUUAUAUUGUGAAUCCUUUAUUAUUUUGAAUCCUCAGACAUAACACUGGUGGCAGGUUUGGCUUUUUAAAAUGUAUUUAUUGGUGGAAGAAUUACAACAUAUGUACAGUAAAACUUACUAUUGUGAUAUAUCCUUAAAUGAAACAAAAUAAAAAUUGUCCUUGACUGUUCCAAUUUCAUAACUAUUGUGAAAAAUGAACAAGUUAUAUCCAAGGUGAUAAUUGUGUCAGAAGUAUAUGAAAGCUAGUGCUGAAAGCAUGUGGCAUGUAUAUAAACUAAUAGAAAAAUAUGAACUGUUAAACAGGUGUUUCAUUUAACAAAUAUGUCCUGUACAUACUUGCUUAAUCCAAUCGCUGAAAUGGCCUUCUAUGAUGUCAGUUGUCCUUGUACUUUAGAUUAGGGUCCAAUAUAGGGUUAAGGCACGGGGGGUCUCAACAUGGGAUUUUCGGUACAGUUGUGCAGCUUGGAUUUAAAAAACACCCCCCAUUCAUAUAUUGAAUAAUUGUAAAAUCCCUACCUAUUCAUAUAUUUCACAGCGAGAUCAUAACCCAUUCAUAUAUUUUAAUGACAAAGAGUUUGGGAAAUUCAGUGAAGAUCGUUGCACAACAAACUGAAAAAUUAUGACCCAUUGAUAUAUCACAAUUGGUCAAUUACUACCUAUUGAUAUAUUUCCUCUGUAAAAUUGCACCCCAUUGAUAUAUUUGACGUAUCAAAAAAGGGACCCAUUCCAGCGGCACAUAUGUAUAUACCUUCUUAUAGGAAGAGACCCCCCCCUCCCCGUGGGUUAGGGCAGGUUUGUUUUAGGUUAAGGAUUAGGGCUUGUGUUUAAUAGGGUAUAGGCUUAGGUUUAGGGUUAAAGUUAGUUUAGUACAGCUCGUUAUAUGUGGAAGAAAAAAAAUGCCAAAAGAACCAUAAAACACACAACCAUAUAUGCUCUAAUCAUAUGCACUAUUAUAGUGUUUUUCCAAUCUGAUUAUUGUAAAUAAUCAUAUAAAAUUUGACACACAUUUUCAUAUUUGUUAGUUGUAGAAAUUUUUAAACUUUAUUGUAUGAAGUGAAAAGGACAAUCAUUGUCUCUAAUUGGUGCCAAAAUCAAAUUGCAUUCAUUAUACUGAAGAUAAUACAAGUUAACAAUUUAAAAUGAAGUUUUAAAAUGGUUUAAAGUAUCUUCUAGCUAAUAAGAAGCAAUAAUUCCAAACUUGAUAAAAUAUAAAUUACCAUAAAGAGGGUACUCAGAAGUAAGCUAAAACUUUAAGAUAUCCUAUAUGAUUUCAUCUUCCAAAUUAUAUCUUUAAGCAUCAGCCAGUUUAUGAUUAAAGAAGUCAUUAGUACAAUUCUAGUUUACAUAACUGACCAUAAAUUUGACCUGUUAACCACAAAAUCAAUAGAAUAGUCUUUCCUUUCCCUAUAUCUUCAAAAUUAUACCCUAAAAAAAGAUUUUAGGUAUGCCAUUUGAACACAGAAAAUAUUUUUUUUUAUUUGAAGCAAUAUAAACAUUUUUUAAAUCACAAGGCAUAUUUGUCUCAAGUCCAAUGAUUAACAGGAGAUUCCCACAAGUUCUUUUUAUGACCUGGAGACACCUAGUAUUUUAAAUAUAUGUGUGGAAUACAUUUUUUGGCUUGUUAAUUAUUGUUUAUGAAUAAUUAUAUAUAUAAUGUCUCAAAAAAAGUUAUGAAAUCCAUGAUACCUGGUCAAUCCUGCUUUUGACUAUACAAAAUAUAAAUCAAAAUUUAUUUUACCCUGUACAGGUGUUCUAUGUCACAAAAAUUUAUUUUACCCUGUACAGGUGUUCUAUGUCACAAAAAUUUAUUUUACCCUGUACAGGUGUUCUAUGUCACAAAAAUUUAUUUUACCCUGUACAGGUGUUCUAUGUCACAAAAAUUUAUUUUACCCUGUACAGGUGUUCUAUGUCACAAAUAAUAUUAUGUUUUUGUAAAGAACGAUGUGUGUAGUAUAGAUCAUAAAACUAGAACAAUCAGCAUUAAUAUGUGAUUCAGUGAGGAACGAUAUUUUCCUACAUGUAGCAAAUUUGUGAAUUUUUUAAUAACUUUGUCUAUAAUAAUGUUUUGCUGAGUUUUUGAUGACAAAAAUCGACACUUAAUUUCGAAUAUGAAAAUUUUAGUAUUCAAAUAUCUGCACAUGCAUUCAGAAUUUUAAUCAGACCAGGUUUAUUUUUUGUUUUUUUAGUUCUAUUACCAGUGUUUUUUUUUUAUGAAUAAAGAGAUUUGAUAAGAAAACAUCCUUCUGUAAAUGUGAGACAAACUGGGCAUGUUUUAGCUGCAUCGGAUAGAAAUGGACCAUAUCCAAAUGAAUAUCAACACAUUUGUUAACCAUUCUUGGGUUGAAAAAAUCUCUAUGCAAAGUCUGUAACUGUUUGAAAUUUUAGUUGA